rnacentral:rRNA from 1 species
GACGAACGCUGGCGGCGUGCUUAACACAUGCAAGUCGAACGGAAAGGCCCUGCUUUUGUGGGGUGCUCGAGUGGCGAAAGGGUGAAAAACACGUGAGUAACCUGCCCUUGACUUUGGGAUAACUUCAGGAAACUGGGGCUAAUACCGGUUAGGAGCUCCUGCUGCAUGGGGGGGGUUGGAAAGUUUCGGCGGUUGGGGAUGGACUCGCGGCUUAUCAGCUUGUUGGUGGGGUAGUGGCUUACGAAGGCUUUGACGGGUAGCCGGCCUGAGAGGGUGACCGGCCACAUUGGGACUGAGAUACGGCCCAGACUCCUACGGGAGGCAGCAGUGGGGAAUAUUGCACAAUGGGCGGAAGCCUGAUGCAGCAACGCCGCGUGCGGGAUGACGGCCUUCGGGUUGUAAACCGCUUUCGCCUGUGACGAAGCGUGAGUGACGGUAAUGGGUAAAGAAGCACCGGCUAACUACGUG